rnacentral:tRNA from 1 species
GCCGAGAUAGCUCAGUUGGUAGAGCAAGGGACUGAAAAUCCCUGUGUCACCAGUUCAAUUCUGGUUCCCGGCA